rnacentral:lncRNA from 1 species
AUGAUCUUGUAUCUACUCAACAGAAUUAAGACAUCGAAUGGUUCUGGACGUGAGGAUGCGGUCGGUGGCCUGGCGGUGGGAAUUCUCUUCCCUUUCCCGGCCGAGGGACGACACAAUACGAAAUAUAAUUCGGUCUACAUUUUAUAUGGUAUCUUCAGAAGAAAUUGCAGUCACUCUCAGAAGUUAAUUCUAACCCAGUUAAAGACCGGCAGAAAUUGGAGAGGCAAAGAAAAAAAUGGAAAUCAUCAUACUAAAGUCUUUCUACAGGAAAAAAAAACCCAACAGAUUAGUUAUCAGACUUCAGUGACAAGAACUAAGGUUGUUUAUUCAUCCAACAUUCCUGUCAGCAUAGGAAUUAUAACAGCCAAUCCAGUUCUCAUCUUAAAGAAUCUAGGAAUCUCUUAUUUACAUUAUAUGAAGCACUGA